rnacentral:misc_RNA from 1 species
GAUGAAGAACGUAGCGAAAUGCGAUAAGUAAUGUGAAUUGCAGAGUUUAGUGAAUCAUCGAAUCUUUGAACGCACAUUGCGCCCGCCAGUAUUCUGGCGGGCAUGCCUGUUCGAGCGUCAUUACAACCCUCAGGCCCCCGGGCCUGGCGUUGGGGAUCGGCGGAAGCCCCCUGCGGGCACAACGCCGUCCCCCAAAUACAGUGGCGGUCCCGCCGCAGCUUCCAUUGCGUAGUAGCUAACACCUCGCAACUGGAGAGCGGCGCGGCCACGCCGUAAAACACCCAACUUCUGAAUGUUGACCUCGAAUCAGGUAGGAAUACCCGCUGAACUUAAGCAUAUCAAUAAGCGGAGGA